rnacentral:misc_RNA from 1 species
UACGGAGGGUGCAAGCGUUAUCCGGAUUCAUUGGGUUUAAAGGGUGCGUAGGCGGGAUAGUAAGUCAGUGGUGAAAGCCUGCGGCUUAACCGUAGAAUUGCCAUUGAUACUGCUAUCCUUGAGUACAGCCGAAGUGGGCGGAAUGUGGCAUGUAGCGGUGAAAUGCAUAGAUAUGCCACAGAACACCGAUUGCGAAGGCAGCUCACUAGACUGUAACUGACGCUGAGGCACGAAAGCGUGGGGAGCGAACAGG